UCUGAUUAGCUAGUUGGUAGGGUAAAAGCCUACCAAGGCAUCGAUCAGUAGCUGGUCUGAGAGGACGACCAGCCACACUGGGACUGAGACACGGCCCAGACUCCUACGGGAGGCAGCAGUGGGGAAUUUUGGACAAUGGGCGCAAGCCUGAUCCAGCAAUGCCGCGUGAGUGAAGAAGGCCUUCGGGUUGUAAAGCUCUUUUGUCAGGGAAGAAACGAUCCGAUCUAAUACAUUGGGUUAAUGACGGUACCUGAAGAAUAAGCACCGGCUAACUACGUGCCAGCAGCCGCGGUAAUACGUAGGGUGCAAGCGUUAAUCGGAAUUACUGGGCGUAAAGCGUGCGCAGGCGGUUAUGUAAGACAGAUGUGAAAUGCCCGGGCUUAACCUGGGAACUGCAUUUGUGACUGCAUGGCUAGAGUGUGUCAGAGGGGGGUAGAAUUCCACGUGUAGCAGUGAAAUGCGUAGAUAUGUGGAGGAAUACCGAUGGCGAAGGCAGCCCCCUGGGAUAACACUGACGCUCAUGCACGAAAGCGUGGGGACCAACAGGAUUAGAUACCCUGGUAGUCCACGCCCUAAACGAUGUCUACUAGUUGUCGGGUCUUAAUUGACUUGGUAACGCAGCUAACGCGUGAAGUAGACCGCCUGGGGAGUACGGUCGCAAGAUUAAAACUCAAAGGAAUUGACGGGGACCCGCACAAGCGGUGGAUGAUGUGGAUUAAUUCGAUGCAACGCGAAAAACCUUACCUACCCUUGACAUGUCAGAGAGCUCGAAGAGAUUUGAGUGUGCUCGAAAGAGAAUCUGAACACAGGUGCUGCAUGGCUGUCGUCAGCUCGUGUCGUGAGAUGUUGGGUUAAGUCCCGCAACGAGCGCAACCCUUGUCAUUAGUUGCUACGAAAGGGCACUCUAAUGAGACUGCCGGUGACAAACCGGAGGAAGGUGGGGAUGACGUCAAGUCCUCAUGGCCCUUAUGGGUAGGGCUUCACACGUCAUACAAUGGUACAUACAGAGGGCCGCCAACCCGCGAGGGGGAGCUAAUCCCAGAAAGUGUAUCGUAGUCCGGAUUGGAGUCUGCAACUCGACUCCAUGAAGUUGGAAUCGCUAGUAAUCGCGGAUCAGCAUGUCGCGGUGAAUACGUUCCCGGGUCUUGUACACACCGCCCGUCACACCAUGGGAGCGGGUUUUACCAGAAGUAGGUAGCCUAACCGCAAGGAGGGCGCUUACCACGGUAGGAUUCGUGACUGGGGUGAAGUCGUAACAAGGUA
rnacentral:rRNA from 1 species